GGGCAGAUGGUAGAGUGGUCAAUUACAACAGACUGUAAAUCUGUCGACUUCGGUCUACGGGGGUUCGACUCCCUCUCUGCCCA
rnacentral:tRNA from 1 species